AAAGAAUUUAUGCAUUUUAUUGAUUUGCACAUAAUCAUAAUUGAAGCAUAUGAAAAUAUAUAUAGCAGAUACACCUUAUGUUUGUGAUGUACGCGAUAAAGGAGUUACCAAUCCUAGUAGUUAACAGUUUCGCAUGAAAACACAUACAGUCGAUAAAUCUCAUUAUUGUGAUAUUGAUAGUAAAAUGUUUAGUUAUCUUAGAAAUGUACAGAGAUACAUGAGAACACAUAUACAGCCGAUAAAUCUCAUUAUUGUGAUGUUGAUGGUAAAAUGUUUAGUGAUCUUAGAAAUGUACAGAGACACAUGAGAACACAUAUAGGAAAAUUACUGUGAUGUUGGAAGUAAAGGCUUUAUUUAUAUUAAAAAAUGUGCAGAGACACAUGAGAACACAUACAGGAGAUAAAUCUUAUUACUUUGAUUUUAGUGGUAAACGUUUUAGUUAUAUAAAAAAUGUGCAGAGACACAUGCAAACCCAUAUGUGAGAUACGUUUUAUGUAUGUGGUAAAAGUUUUAAUCGGCUUUGUAAUUUACAGAAACACAUUACAAGACUUGUUUUUGUAUACAUUGUAUACAGCCUGUAAACUCACAGGAAUGUAUUUACUGCAUGUGUGUCAGAAUUCAUUGAAAUUUGUGACUUACAAAGACACUUUAGAAUACAAACUUGGGUAAAACUCGUUCAAAG
rnacentral:lncRNA from 1 species